AAAUUGAAGAGUUUGAUCAUGGCUCAGAUUGAACGCUGGCGGCAGGCCUAACACAUGCAAGUCGAGCGGUAGCACAGAGAGCUUGCUCUCGGGUGACGAGCGGCGGACGGGUGAGUAAUGUCUGGGAAACUGCCUGAUGGAGGGGGAUAACUACUGGAAACGGUAGCUAAUACCGCAUAAUGUCGCAAGACCAAAGUGGGGGACCUUCGGGCCUCAUGCCAUCAGAUGUGCCCAGAUGGGAUUAGCUAGUAGGUGGGGUAAUGGCUCACCUAGGCGACGAUCCCUAGCUGGUCUGAGAGGAUGACCAGCCACACUGGAACUGAGACACGGUCCAGACUCCUACGGGAGGCAGCAGUGGGGAAUAUUGCACAAUGGGCGCAAGCCUGAUGCAGCCAUGCCGCGUGUGUGAAGAAGGCCUUCGGGUUGUAAAGCACUUUCAGCGGGGAGGAAGGCGUUAAGGUUAAUAACCUUGGCGAUUGACGUUACCCGCAGAAGAAGCACCGGCUAACUCCGUGCCAGCAGCCGCGGUAAUACGGAGGGUGCAAGCGUUAAUCGGAAUUACUGGGCGUAAAGCGCACGCAGGCGGUCUGUCAAGUCGGAUGUGAAAUCCCCGGGCUCAACCUGGGAACUGCAUUCGAAACUGGCAGGCUAGAGUCUUGUAGAGGGGGGUAGAAUUCCAGGUGUAGCGGUGAAAUGCGUAGAGAUCUGGAGGAAUACCGGUGGCGAAGGCGGCCCCCUGGACAAAGACUGACGCUCAGGUGCGAAAGCGUGGGGAGCAAACAGGAUUAGAUACCCUGGUAGUCCACGCCGUAAACGAUGUCGAUUUGGAGGUUGUGCCCUUGAGGCGUGGCUUCCGGAGCUAACGCGUUAAAUCGACCGCCUGGGGAGUACGGCCGCAAGGUUAAAACUCAAAUGAAUUGACGGGGGCCCGCACAAGCGGUGGAGCAUGUGGUUUAAUUCGAUGCAACGCGAAGAACCUUACCUGGUCUUGACAUCCACAGAACUUUCCAGAGAUGGAUUGGUGCCUUCGGGAACUGUGAGACAGGUGCUGCAUGGCUGUCGUCAGCUCGUGUUGUGAAAUGUUGGGUUAAGUCCCGCAACGAGCGCAACCCUUAUCCUUUGUUGCCAGCGGUUCGGCCGGGAACUCAAAGGAGACUGCCAGUGAUAAACUGGAGGAAGGUGGGGAUGACGUCAAGUCAUCAUGGCCCUUACGACCAGGGCUACACACGUGCUACAAUGGCAUAUACAAAGAGAAGCGACCUCGCGAGAGCAAGCGGACCUCAUAAAGUAUGUCGUAGUCCGGAUUGGAGUCUGCAACUCGACUCCAUGAAGUCGGAAUCGCUAGUAAUCGUAGAUCAGAAUGCUACGGUGAAUACGUUCCCGGGCCUUGUACACACCGCCCGUCACACCAUGGGAGUGGGUUGCAAAAGAAGUAGGUAGCUUAACCUUCGGGAGGGCGCUUACCACUUUGUGAUUCAUGACUGGGGUGAAGUCGUAACAAGGUAACCGUAGGGGAACCUGCGGUUGGAUCACCUCCUUACCUUAAAGAA
rnacentral:rRNA from 1 species